rnacentral:lncRNA from 1 species
AAAAAAAGUAAUAAAGAUAUAAAGGACCCCCAUCCAGAACCUCACAUUUAUUUUUAUUCAAUUAGUUUGUUAAAUUCUUUUUUUUUAAGUGGUAGUAGUUUGAUAAAGUUGUAAUAAUUAGUGAGAGUGUUUGUGGUUUGAGUUGGGCGAGUUGUAUAGAAAAGAGAAAUUGAGAAGGAAGUUGAUUCCCAAGAAUUACAAUUAGAGGGACACAAUUUAGUGUUGUUUGUCAUGAUUUUAACAUGAUAAAAUGCUUCUUAAUUUCCACUAAUUCUAAUGAGCUUCAUUGAACAAGACAGUAACUACCUCAAACAAUCUGACACUGACUAAGGGAAGAC